rnacentral:lncRNA from 1 species
UGGCUACACGCCAGGUCUGCUGCUCCUGGGAGCCCUGUUUUCAUGAACACCUGGGCUCACUCUCCCUGUUUGCCUCCCUCAGACCCUAAGUUUGUAGAGCUUGGGGCUGAGAUCCCCCAGCGAAUUUGCUUGCCCUCCUGUAGCCACGCCCCCGGUAGCUGGUGCAAGAGACCUCAGUUGUCAGCACUGGUGGGAGCGGUAGCCGGGAGUUCCGCGCCGCGAGUCCCGCGCCACUCCUGAUUCCCUCGGUCUGGUUAUUGCGUUCACAGGAGAGCUGGGAGUGGCCCUUAAGGUUUCCCCGCUGUGUGGAGAGAGAUGGCUAGGGGAUUACACACCUGUCGCGCUGGUUUCAAUGCAGUUAUCUCCUCCGCCCGUGACGCCAUUUCUCUGCCAUGGUGAUAUCCCAUGCAAAUGGUGACCGUUUGUUCCCUUUGCCGGAUGACCAAUGCAACGGGUGGGUCCUGACUGUCUCUCCCAAUCCCCGUUUCAGUCCUGUGGCCACUGCCUAUGAAGGCUCGGUUGGCUUUUACCUCUGUAAGUUCCUAAGGGCCGGCCAAUUAUUUCAGCGGGAUCGUUAGUGCUGAGUCACACGAAGCAGGCGAACCGGAGCUUAAUUGCCUCCGAUUCGGGCUCUGUGUGUGUGUUCUGAGGGGCCCAGCCUGUACACCCCAGAUCCACGUCAGCUCAGCAUUGCCUAGUGAGCCUGAGCAAACAGCAUUUAGACAGUUUACGGCUCCCUAUGCCCGCGCAGUUGAAGAUGUCAGAGACUUGAUCUCUCUGCGCCUGCCACCAUGUUACAUCUCCUCAGUAAUAUUCAUGUUGCCCUUACAGCUUCCUGGUAUAAGCAAGUUCUUGGGAUUAUACAAACUGCUGCUUCUGUUUCCAGUCCAGAUUUCUAGAAAUGAAACUCUGGGCCGCGCUGACGAGCGUCCGCGCUUGUCUGCGACCGUAGCAGAGCCGCCCUGGCCUCCGCAGCUCUUCAGCCCGGUGCCAGGCCCCAGGGGCCCAAGCGGCUGCCGCCGCGGCUCUCCGUCCCCCUCCUCCGGAGCACGGGUCCCCUGGCAGGGGGGUGCAGAACGACCCCAGAGCAGGCUCUGCCCGAAGGUGCAGCGGCGAACAGGCCACAGAGACGCUCGAGGCUGCAGUCCAGCCUUCGGAGGACAGGGCUCGGCACGCAGCCCAGCUCCAACCUCUAGGUGCGGCUGCCGGACAGUGUAUACAGAGCCAUCAAGACAGCAAGCAGAAAGCAAAUGGCGGCUCCCGCGGAGUGGAUUUUCGGCACAGAAACCACAGCCCCGCCAACAAUCCCAAUCCACAAACUCUCCCUGUAUAAAAAAUAUUCAAAAAAAAAAGAAAAAAGGCGGGGCGCACUGAGCUUUCUUUGCCUCGGGUACUUACAAUCCACUGCUGAUUACACAUUCAGCUUCUCCGCCCGGAGCGAAGCGAAAGAGGAAGCAGAUAGGAGCAAAGCGCCCGCGGCUCUGAGCAGCCAAGCGUCUCUUUUUGGAUUUCUUUGUUCUUCCUGCUCCUUGGCAAAGUGGUCCACUACAGAUUAACGGUGAAAGGAGCUUUAACAGACUGUGCGAAAUCUCUAUUAAAGCCGCUGCUUUGAGCACCACGCUCAGCACUUCAGCAACCCCCGUACGCAGCAGCCAUCUUCCCCCCGAGUCCGUUAAAUCAGUUUAGACAUAGUAAAGAGAACUUAUAAAGUUGUUUCCUUGAGGUAGAUAAGAUAUAUACCCAGUGUACAUAUUAAAAUCAGGAAGCUGUUAUCACUUAAAUACUGGGCAAAAAGUUUUCUCAGCCAGUGUCUUAAACCUUGUCCAAAGAUCUUAAUCACCCAAGUGUUCUUAUAAUAAUACAGUGUUCUUCCAGACCUACUGACUCUGAAUCUCUCAUGGAGAUCUACAAUAUAUAUUUUAAAUAAAGAGCCCAGUGAUUCUUACUAUCAGGGAAGCUUGGGAAAUGCUAAGCUCAACCAUACUAUGUGCUGAACUCAUUCCUAAGAUUGCUUUUUAGUAGAGAAAAUUAAAACUGGAAAGUUUCUUUAAGAUCUUCUUAUUCCAUUGGGUAGUGUUCCAGUUAUCAAUUUAUUGCUUUUCAGCUUCAAAUCCAUCCUUCUCUGCUCUGCCGUGUGAUACAGACUCUGGACCCUGGGAACAUGGCUCCCUUCCCAGCUGGCACAAUUUUAAGAUCUGCCAAUUUUCUGCCAUCGGUUGUCUCCAAUUAACCCCCUCCAAUCUUUUCCAGAAGCCUAGGAUUAGACUCCACCCACCCCAAAACUGGAAAAUGAAUGUUUCUUCUUAAAAAAUUUUCUUUGGGUUUCAGGACAGUGCUCUGCUGAUUGUCCACCUGUUCCCCUGCUUCAGUGUCCUCUACUAGCUCCUCCUUUUCUUCUGCCCUCUGAUGUCUGAUUGCUAUAGAACUCAGUCUACCUACACUUAGCUCCCUGGAUGAUGAUAUCUUAUUGCAUGACCUUAAGUGACAUUGACUUCCUAAAGAUUCCAAAAUUGGAACCUCCAGUUGGACUUCCUGAAACUCCAGCUGCUUGUCUGGUAUCUCCACUCGCAUAUACUGGAUGGGAAUCUUAAACUUUUCGUGCUCCAAACUUAACUGUGCAACUUCUCCAGUCUGCUCUUCUUUCAGCACUUGUCAGUUAACAGAAAUGUUAUGUUUCUAGUUGUUCAAGGCCAAAAAUUUUGUCUCCUCACUCUCUGGUCCUACAUUAAAUCUAUCAGCAAAAUGUGUUGGCUCAGUCUUCAAAAUACCCAGAAUCUGAUUGCUUCUCAUCACCUCCACAGCAGCCUUCCUCAUCCAAGCCAGUUGGUGUGUUGUCUGGGUUGGAGAGGAUCCUCCUUUCUCAGGACAGGCGAGGUCGACCUAUAGUCCAUGUGACCUCCUCUCAGUGCUUCAAAGCCCUCCAUCUUUUCUGGCACAGUAAUCAUUGCAUUGUUCCUUGACAUCUUAUGUUCAGGCCCUGGCUUGUGGAUCAGCUGUAGACAAGUACAUGACCCCUGACCAUGUGGCCAAGAGAAAAAAGGGGCGUGUUGGAUGAUAUGAUUGCUUUGAAAGCUUCACCUGGACUCAAAAUAUGUUCCUUCUGCUUCCAUUUCCAUGAUCAAAGCAUGGGCAUGCUGAGUUCAACAUGACGGGAAUGCAGAGUUGAUUCUUGCUCUUCAUAGAAGUUAUGAUCUGUAAGGUCACAACAAACACUAGAUCAGCAAAUUCUAAACCCUGGCUCCAAAGUUAGGAAGUACAUUGUCUGUGGUCACAAUGUUUUUAUUAGCUAAAACACUAUUUGCCAACAUCUUUGUAAAACAAGUCAG